rnacentral:rRNA from 1 species
CCCUUAGUAACGGCGAGCGAAAAGGGAAGAGUCCAGCGCCAAGUCUUGACGCCCGAGCGUUCAAGAGAUGCGGCGUUAAUGUAUUAUCGCAUCGUACAUUGUUGCCUGUUUCAAGUUCCCUUGACAGGGACAUCCAGAGCGGGUGCUAGGCCCAUAGAGACAAGCAACCAGUGUACGCAGAUAAUGCAUUCUAGAGUCAGGUUGCUUGAGAGUGCAGCUUAAAGUGGGUGGUAAACUCCAUCUAAGGCUAAAUAUGACAGCGAGACCGAUAGCAAACAAGUACCGUGAGGGAAAGUUGCAAAGCACUUUGAAGAGAGAGUUCAACAGUACGUGAAACCACUGGGAGGCAAACAGAUGGAACCACGAAGUUGCGCCUUGCUCGAUUCAAUCAUUGAUACUGGUUACCGGUUCUUGUGUGGAUCUUUUCGGAGAUUAGCAAGUGUCGUGGAACUGGUGUCAAUGGUGCAUUUCGUGUGAGGAUGCUAAGCCACGUUCGAUUAGAGUUGGGACGGCCGUAGGACAGAAUUCGAGGAAGGUGACCGGAAAGUGCUUGCAUUUUUCGGUGUUAUAGCCUUGAAUUGGUACCGUCGCCUAACAAACUGAUCGAUAGAAAUUCUCCUAAGGAGUUGAACUGUGUCUGCCUGUGGCCGUUAGUCAACCUUUCGAAGUGUUCUUUUACGUAUCUUUGGUGCGGAGAGGCAUUUCAACAAUGUUGGUUAAUGGCUACUUGCGUGACAUGGUGGAACUGUGGCGCGAGUAGGUCGGUUCCCCUCUGACCC